ensembl:lncRNA
CUGUGAUGUGGAGCUAUGCAUCAUCAGCGGUUAAGUCUGACUCCUCCUCCUCUCUGCUGGAGCCCAGCUCCGUGUUUAAAGCACAACGCUAAACAUGCUGGAGCUAAACCAGACUGCAUAACACACACGUGGGGAAUGAAUUAGAAACAAACAAAACACUCUGUAAUACUUGCAUUCUACACUCUUGCAAAUUAAAAAAUGUUUUCAGUUUGUAAGCGACACCCAAUCAGUUUGAAAAUUGGGCUGAUUAUUUGUUUUGUCUAAUUGGACAUGAUUGCUGUAAGGAGAUGCAGGUGCAUGGGGGGCUCAGCUGUUUCCAUGGUGGGAGAGUCUAUGUUUUUGCACAACACGCAAGAAGCAGAUUCCUGCAGAGACGCCUACAGCUGGACUCCAGACAUUGGGGAUUUGAACACAGCUCCUUUAGACAGUGAGUCCCAACAACACGUUAACAACCAGACUAUCCGUGCAUGAAAGGAGUAUGGCAGAGCUUACAUCAAGAUGACCAGUGCAAGCACUGUCUGAGGUCCCCAUGGCAACAACAUCAGCAGCAGCUGUCUCUGUGAAGUCAGAGGAGGACCUGCUCUGUGUCAUCGGGUGACAAUUCUUUUGUCUCUCCGUUUUAACAGAUGUCCAACAAGCGGGCUAGACGAAAGUCACUUCAAAGCUUUGUUUAUUUUAUCAGAAAUCCUUUUUUCUCUCAAGACGAUUGGACAUUAUGAGCCACUGUGAGAGCUAUUAUGUCCAGAUGACAGCAUGGAGGAUUGGAAACAGACACCACAAGAUUGAUGCGGGGUUUACUUGCCUAGAUGGAUUACCAGCGAAGAUACAUCUAUACACAGAUGGAUCAGAGGAAAAAAUUGUCUAAAAAACUAGAAGUUAAACAAAAUUGUCUUGUACAAUGUUCUAGGAUUUUUUUUAAUUUUUUUGUCAACGGUUUCAGUUUUUUUUUAUUAAUUACCUAGACAUAUAUCGUGACUAUGCAUAUUGUCUGUCACUUUGUGGAGGCUCUUAAGGAUACUGCUAAAGAUAGCCCAUCAUUUCUUCCGAGAAGAGAUUAAAACCCUGGAUCUGAAGGGUCAAACCAUGCCCUCCUCUGUCUGGGCAAAGCAUGGAUGUUAGAAUCUCUUAUCAGGCAAUACCUAAUGCGAGAGCAUCUGAUCCAGCGCCAAUAUAUGUACUAUGUCAAUGUCCUGCUGUCCUGUUUCUGUUUUUAUCAUUUGCCAUUUGUUGUCCUGGUUUUAAACUAUUGUUGAUAGUACUGAGUCCAAAUAUUUGAAUAUUAGUUCAUUAGCAAUUCAGUGUUUGAGUUCUUCGUUUUUUUGGGAGAAAAAUAAAUAAAUAUAUUAAUAAUAUUUUAUUUUAUUGUAAUGCCAAUACAUUUUUGCAAACCUAAGGUAGGAGGUUAAGUUCCUUUUUGUCUGGACAUCCCGUGAUAUCCCAGGGAUAGAAUAAAGAUCAUGUACGGUCUGAGAAUGCUUCACGUCAAUGCUUCUUUUGAGGUUUUUGUAGCCAUCAUCAAACAUGGGAUGACAGAAUUAUCCAUCGUAAAUGUUUAUUUGGAUAUUAGAACAUGU